ensembl:lncRNA
CAAAUGGCCAAGCAUGACUCAACCGAAGAUUUCGCUCGCUGUAUCUUUAAAGCACUUGAAGUUUUCUUGGCAGCUCAGGGAAGAACUGCAAGUUCAGCCAAAAUAGACAAUAAAGCAAAGGGGAGGAACAUGCCAAAAUGAAAGGGGCAACUAGUUCCAGGGGUUCAUUUUUCCUUCAUGAUUCACGCUGGAAAAGAAAGCACUUCCCUGUCCUCAGAUGAACUCUCGCCGCGCUCUGGAGGAGGGGACGGACGCGCGCGCGCGCGCACAAGCAGAACUGGGUCAACUGCAGACGAGUCAAAAGAAGCGAGAGAGUGUCGUGUUGAGCUGACAGCACAGCUGUGUUUCCAGUGGAUCACAGACAGACAGGUGAUGUGUCCUGUCUGGCUCUUUGGCUGCGCACCAAGUAAUGUGAUCAAUCAGAGGUACUUCAGAAAUCCCGCAGUCGCAGGUGUCACUCAUAAACAAACAUGCUGCUCCAGCUUGAGUUCACGGAGGGCGUCUGUCCUCACGCGCCCCGGGAGCUUUUACCUGCUUGUGUCUUGCAUGGCUGUUGUGUUCAGAGACGAAGAGCGAGGAUCAGCCCUGAUGACCCAGAAAGACGCUCAUGGAUGGGCCUAAUUAGAUCAGCCCGGUGUGACGAACGGGAGAUGACGUCAUGGCUCUGCUGGCCGGUCAUGUGACUGGCUUAAAUUGUGUUUGUGCUCUGAUCUGGGAUCAGAUGACCACUGUAGUGUUACUUAAUCAUAAACUUCAUUAGAGAACCAGGCUAAAUUAUAUACAUUAAAAUAUUAUUUCUGAUUGGAUGAGCCACGUUAGAUUUGUAAAAUGCAGGAUAUUAAAAAUAGCAUUUGUUUAAUCACACAGUAUACAGUGUUAGAUCUCAAGAAUACCACUAAUUUAGCCAUUUAUAUAAAGUGUGCACAGCAAUUUUGCAUCAUUCUCUCUGGCAGCAAGUAUUUUUUUAUUUUACAUAUUGUAUACUUAUUUUAAACGUAAAUAUAUAUUUUUUAAUGUUUAUGAAAGUUUAAAUAAAUAUAAGUGCAUGUUUAAAAACAAUACGACAUUGUAUUUUUAACACUUAAAGUUAUAUACAUAUAAUUUUCACAUUUUAAGAAAUAAAUGUACAUUUAUGUUUAUUCUCCUUGUGGCCUUUUUACAGAUCAUCUGAUCUUUCUCACUAGACUCUCUCACUCUUUAUUUCUUCUCUGUCAAGUUUCUCCUUUAAUCACACCGGUCAUCCCAGUAUAGAUGCAACAUCUGGAUUUCAUCGCCGCUGGAGUGAUGAUAAACACUCUCACAGCUGAUCCAAAACCCACAUCGCACGGAUGGAGUCAGUAGACAUCAGACAGAAGCUCAGAUGAAGCUAUACGUAGAUCCUACUCACUGGAUUAUUGCCUGCUGUUUCAAUUAUGUGCACAAGAACGUGAUAAUAGAAAAAACAAGAACAAUGUAACUUUGAGCUCCGGCGACGUCUGCUGGCAGCUCUGGGUACUGCAUCGUUCCAGUGCGGCUUUAUUUUGUUACUCAAACAAGCUUGCUUUCCCACAUUAACUUCCAAAACAUUCUUGUAAUAAAACAUAGUAUAUUUCUUUGAAAAAGUGAAGAAUUACCUCUAGCUGUGGUCUCUAAACUACUAUUAACCUGACGUAGGUCCAUGCUGAAUUAGAUUUUUUCCUUGCAUCGCUCAGAUUAAUAGCGUUUCUCUGUGAUUUAGCCCUGGAGAUGUGUCUGUAAUAGCAUAUGCCUUCCAGGCCUAAUUACCCUAAAUGCAAUUUAAGUUUAUUAUCUUUUGUAUCCAGGGAGAACUGCACAACUCCGUUAUUAACCAAACUGUCCUCCUUUCUUACUGUCCGACAAUUUACAGCAGGAUUCAAUCAAGUUACCGUAAGUAAAACCGAUGAUUUUUACUUUCGUUGACGGGAAAGCACUCGAUGGUCAGGCCGCUGUGGGCCUCUGGUCAACAGAAUACUUUUUGCAGUCUUCAUCCACGUCCCAUUGACGGAUUUUGACCAAAAGCAAAUAAACGGAGAACAUUAGAGCAGAAGGCAAAGUAUGCAGUGUGUUAAAAUCCACUCUCAUUCGAGUCACUUAACAGAAUUAUUAAGUAUUGUAUCUUUUAUUAAAUAAAAAAAAAGGCAAGAAAAACCUCAAACCUGGAUUUGUUGUCAUAGUCUGGCAUCAUUUUUCUGUCACUUUACUGUCUAUCCAAGAAGACCAGCCUGAAUUUAUUUUGGUUUAAUAUGCAUAAAUGUGUGUUUUUG